rnacentral:rRNA from 1 species
GGGUUGUGAGGUUAAGCGACUAAGCGUACACGGUGGAUGCCCUGGCAGUCAGAGGCGAUGAAGGACGUGCUAAUCUGCGAUAAGCGUCGGUAAGGUGAUAUGAACCGUUAUAACCGGCGAUUUCCGAAUGGGGAAACCCAGUGUGUUUCGACACACUAUCAUUAACUGAAUCCAUAGGUUAAUGAGGCGAACCGGGGAACUGAAACAUCUAAGUACCCGAGGAAAAGAAAUCAACCGAGAUUCCCCCAGUAGCGGCGAGCGAACGGGGAGCAGCCCAGAGCCUGAAUCAGUGUGUGUGUUAGUGGAAGCGUCUGGAAAGGCGCGCGAUACAGGGUGACAGCCCCGUACACAAAAAUGCACAUGCUGUGAGCUCGAUGAGUAGGGCGGGACACGUGGUAUCCUGUCUGAAUAUGGGGGACCAUCCUCCAAGGCUAAAUACUCCUGACUGACCGAUAGUGAACCAGUACCGUGAGGGAAAGGCGAAAAGAACCCCGGCGAGGGGAGUGAAAAAGAACCUGAAACCGUGUACGUACAAGCAGUGGGAGCCUCUUUUAUGGGGUGACUGCGUACCUUUUGUAUAAUGGGUCAGCGACUUAUAUUCUGUAGCAAGGUUAACCGAAUAGGGGAGCCGAAGGGAAACCGAGUCUUAACUGGGCGUUAAGUUGCAGGGUAUAGACCCGAAACCCGGUGAUCUAGCCAUGGGCAGGUUGAAGGUUGGGUAACACUAACUGGAGGACCGAACCGACUAAUGUUGAAAAAUUAGCGGAUGACUUGUGGCUGGGGGUGAAAGGCCAAUCAAACCGGGAGAUAGCUGGUUCUCCCCGAAAGCUAUUUAGGUAGCGCCUCGUGAAUUCAUCUCCGGGGGUAGAGCACUGUUUCGGCAAGGGGGUCAUCCCGACUUACCAACCCGAUGCAAACUGCGAAUACCGGAGAAUGUUAUCACGGGAGACACACGGCGGGUGCUAACGUCCGUCGUGAAGAGGGAAACAACCCAGACCGCCAGCUAAGGUCCCAAAGUCAUGGUUAAGUGGGAAACGAUGUGGGAAGGCCCAGACAGCCAGGAUGUUGGCUUAGAAGCAGCCAUCAUUUAAAGAAAGCGUAAUAGCUCACUGGUCGAGUCGGCCUGCGCGGAAGAUGUAACGGGGCUAAACCAUGCACCGAAGCUGCGGCAGCGACGCUUAUGCGUUGUUGGGUAGGGGAGCGUUCUGUAAGCCUGUGAAGGUGUGCUGUGAGGCAUGCUGGAGGUAUCAGAAGUGCGAAUGCUGACAUAAGUAACGAUAAAGCGGGUGAAAAGCCCGCUCGCCGGAAGACCAAGGGUUCCUGUCCAACGUUAAUCGGGGCAGGGUGAGUCGACCCCUAAGGCGAGGCCGAAAGGCGUAGUCGAUGGGAAACAGGUUAAUAUUCCUGUACUUGGUGUUACUGCGAAGGGGGACGGAGAAGGCUAUGUUGGCCGGGCGACGGUUGUCCCGGUUUAAGCGUGUAGGCUGGUUUUCCAGGCAAAUCCGGAAAAUCAAGGCUGAGGCGUGAUGACGAGGCACUACGGUGCUGAAGCAACAAAUGCCCUGCUUCCAGGAAAAGCCUCUAAGCAUCAGGUAACAUCAAAUCGUACCCCAAACCGACACAGGUGGUCAGGUAGAGAAUACCAAGGCGCUUGAGAGAACUCGGGUGAAGGAACUAGGCAAAAUGGUGCCGUAACUUCGGGAGAAGGCACGCUGAUAUGUAGGUGAAGCGACUUGCUCGUGGAGCUGAAAUCAGUCGAAGAUACCAGCUGGCUGCAACUGUUUAUUAAAAACACAGCACUGUGCAAACACGAAAGUGGACGUAUACGGUGUGACGCCUGCCCGGUGCCGGAAGGUUAAUUGAUGGGGUUAGCGCAAGCGAAGCUCUUGAUCGAAGCCCCGGUAAACGGCGGCCGUAACUAUAACGGUCCUAAGGUAGCGAAAUUCCUUGUCGGGUAAGUUCCGACCUGCACGAAUGGCGUAAUGAUGGCCAGGCUGUCUCCACCCGAGACUCAGUGAAAUUGAACUCGCUGUGAAGAUGCAGUGUACCCGCGGCAAGACGGAAAGACCCCGUGAACCUUUACUAUAGCUUGACACUGAACAUUGAGCCUUGAUGUGUAGGAUAGGUGGGAGGCUUAGAAGUGUGGACGCCAGUCUGCAUGGAGCCGACCUUGAAAUACCACCCUUUAAUGUUUGAUGUUCUAACGUUGACCCGUAAUCCGGGUUGCGGACAGUGUCUGGUGGGUAGUUUGACUGGGGCGGUCUCCUCCUAAAGAGUAACGGAGGAGCACGAAGGUUGGCUAAUCCUGGUCGGACAUCAGGAGGUUAGUGCAAUGGCAUAAGCCAGCUUGACUGCGAGCGUGACGGCGCGAGCAGGUGCGAAAGCAGGUCAUAGUGAUCCGGUGGUUCUGAAUGGAAGGGCCAUCGCUCAACGGAUAAAAGGUACUCCGGGGAUAACAGGCUGAUACCGCCCAAGAGUUCAUAUCGACGGCGGUGUUUGGCACCUCGAUGUCGGCUCAUCACAUCCUGGGGCUGAAGUAGGUCCCAAGGGUAUGGCUGUUCGCCAUUUAAAGUGGUACGCGAGCUGGGUUUAGAACGUCGUGAGACAGUUCGGUCCCUAUCUGCCGUGGGCGCUGGAGAACUGAGGGGGGCUGCUCCUAGUACGAGAGGACCGGAGUGGACGCAUCACUGGUGUUCGGGUUGUCAUGCCAAUGGCACUGCCCGGUAGCUAAAUGCGGAAGAGAUAAGUGCUGAAAGCAUCUAAGCACGAAACUUGCCCCGAGAUGAGUUCUCCCUGACCCUUUAAGGGUCCUGAAGGAACGUUGAAGACGACGACGUUGAUAGGCCGGGUGUGUAAGCGCAGCGAUGCGUUGAGCUAACCGGUACUAAUGAACCGUGAGGCUUAACCUUACAACGCCGAAGCUGUU